AUUGAACGCUGGCGGCAGGCCUAACACAUGCAAGUCGAACGGUAGCACAGAGAGCUUGCUCUCGGGUGACGAGUGGCGGACGGGUGAGUAAUGUCUGGGAAACUGCCCGAUGGAGGGGGAUAACUACUGGAAACGGUAGCUAAUACCGCAUAAUGCCGCAAGACCAAAGAGGGGGACCUUCGGGCCUCUUGCCAUCGGAUGUGCCCAGAUGGGAUUAGCUUGUUGGUGAGGUAAUGGCUCACCAAGGCGACGAUCCCUAGCUGGUCUGAGAGGAUGACCAGCCACACUGGAACUGAGACACGGUCCAGACUCCUACGGGAGGCAGCAGUGGGGAAUAUUGCACAAUGGGCGCAAGCCUGAUGCAGCCAUGCCGCGUGUGUGAAGAAGGCCUUCGGGUUGUAAAGCACUUUCAGCGGGGAGGAAGGCAAUGCGGUUAAUAACCGUGUUGAUUGACGUUACCCGCAGAAGAAGCACCGGCUAACUCCGUG
rnacentral:rRNA from 1 species